CGGGAGGGCUUGCGUUCGCCGCUCGACCAAAGCCACCGCGAGCUGGUCGUCGUUGCACUUGCUGGCGACCUGGCCGUCCCCUCUGCACCACUUUCACCUCAAAUUUGGACGCUCAUGUGCUUGUGGAUGUUCUCAGUUAUUUUUUGCACACAAGGUGUUUGUGUGUUUGUCUGAACCAGUUUCAGUCACAGAUCCUUGAGCCGACCUAAUUGAGCUAUCGGAGGUGUUGCGGUCUUUUAGCAAACAUGCCCUAUAUUCUAUGGUUUGGCAUCUACAGGAUGCCAUCUCUGGUCAUGGAUCCACUAUGGCUGCUUCGUCCUUCACUUAGGACCUUCUCACCCCCACAGAGAUCAGAGAGAAAAAUAUAUCUUGGAAGCAGGAACCCUUACCUCAUUA